GACAGGUACGUGCAGGAAGGGUUGACAGACAGGUAAGUGCAGGUAGGGUAGACAGACAGGUAAGUGCAGGUAGGGUAGACAGACAGGUACGUGCAGGUAGGGUAGACAGAGCAGGUGAGUGCAGGUAGGGUAGACAGAGCAGGUGAGUGCAGGUAGGGUAGACAGAGCAGGUGAGUGCAGGUAGGGUUGACAGACAGGUAAGUGCAGGUAGGGUAGACAGACAGGUAAGUGCAGGUAGGGUUGACAGACAGGUAAGUGCAGGUAGGGUAGACAGAGCAGGUGUGUCGUGGUUGCAGCCCUGUUCCUCACCGCUAUGUUAAUUUAUUAAUAUAUGCAAAUAGACCUAGACCAUCUGUGUGAAGGUGUCUUAGGCAUGUUGCAAGGGGGCAUGAGGACUGGAGAUGUGGCCAGGGCAAUAAAUUGCAAUGUCCGUACUGUGUAACGCCUAAAUGACAGAGCUACAGGGAGACAGGAUGGGCAGCUGAUCGUCCUCGCAGUGGCAGACCACGUGUAACAACACCUGCACAGGAUCGGUACAUCCGAACAUCACACCAGCGGGACAGGUACAGGAUGGCAACAACAACUGCCCGAGUUACACCAGGAACGCACAAUCCCUCCAUCAGUGCUCAGACUGUCCGCAAUAGGCUGAGAGAGGCUGGACUGAGGGCUUGUAGGCCUGUUGUAAGGUGGCUCCUCACCGGACCUCACCUUCAACAACAUCACCUAUGGGCACAAACCCAUCGUCGCUGGACCAGACAGGACUGGCAGAAAGUGUUCUUCACUGACCAGUCGCUGUUUUGUCUCACUAGGGUUGAUGGUCGGAUUUGCGUUUAUUGUCGAAGGAAUGAGCGUUACACCGAGGAGGUGGAGGGUCCGUCAUGGUCUGGGGCGGUGUGUCACAGCAUCAUCUGACUGAGCUUGUUGUCAUUGCUGGCAAUCUCAAUGCUGUGCGUUACAGGGAAGACACCCUCUUCCCUCAUGUGGUACCCUUCCUGCAGGCUCAUCCUGACAUGACCCUCCAGCAUGACAAUGCCACCAGCCAUACUGCUCGUUCUGUGCGUGAUUUCCUGCAAGACAGGAAUGUUAGUGUUCUGCCAUGGCAAGUGAAGAGCCCGGAUCUCAAUCCCAUUGAGCACGUCUGGGACCUGUUGGAUCGGAGAGUGAGAGCUAGGGCCAUUCCCUCCAGAAAUGUCCUGGAACUGGUGGAAUAGAGGGGUAACAUCUUAAAGCAAGAACUGGCAAAUCUGGUGUAGUCCGUGAGGAGGAGAUGCACUGCAGUACUUAAUGCAGCUGGUGGCCACAACAGAUACUGACUGUUACUUUUUUUUUAAACUUUUGAUUUUGACCCCCCUUGUUCAGGGACACGUUAUUCCAUUUAUUUUAGUCACAUGUCUGUGGAACUUGUUCAUUUUCUGUCUGUUGUUGAAUCUUGUUUUGUUCAUACAAAUAUUUACAUAUGUUAAGUUUGCUGAAAAUAAACCCAGUUGACAGUGAAAGGACAUUUCUUUUUUUGCUGAGUUUAUAUGAAUGCAUUCUAAGAAAUUGUUGUUGUUUUUUACAAUAAAAUGAAAACCCGAAUUCACACCAAAAUCACUGAACUCCAUUCAUUAUUUGUCCGUGCCAGUAAAAUGUUUUAUAUUCUAUAACCCUAACCCUAACCUUAACCCUAACCUUAACCCUAACCUUAACCCUAACCCUAACCCUAACCCUAUCCCUAACCCUAGGCCUAUUCCUAGUUCUGAUAGAAACCUAUAUAUCCUU